rnacentral:snRNA from 1 species
GGAUGUGAGGGCGAUCUGGCUGUGACAUCUGUCACCCAUUGAUCGCCAGGGUUGAUUCGGCUGAUCUGGCUGGCUAGGCGGGUGUCCCCUUCCUCCCUCACCACUCCAUGUGCGUCCCUCCCAAAGCUGCGCGCUCGGUCGAAGAGGAUGACCAUCCCCGAUAGAGGAGCACCGUUCUUUGGUCAACGGUAUACGAGUAGCUGCACUCCCCUGCUAGAACCUCCAAACAAGCUCUCAAGAGGGAGAUUUCUUAUUAUUACUUUAGUUUCAUUGCUUGAAAUAUUUAGGUGUUUAAUAUAUCCUUGGUUCAAUU